GAGAGAGAGAGAGAGUUGGUAGUGUUUAUAAAAAUAUCAAACAUUUGGUGCUUCAUGCUUAUAAAUUUUUUUCCAUUAAAUUUAUUUUUUUAAUUGUUUCUAUCUAUUAGACUAUUCAACCAACCAUUCAUUCAAUUUUAAAAAUCUUAUAUCAUUCUAAUCGUACAUAUCUUAAUCUAAUGGUCAAAAAUCUAUAAACAUCAAUCACUUAUACUUUUAAAAGCAUAUAUAAGAGUUCUCUCUCUCUCUCUCUCUCUCUCUCUCUCUAUAUAUAUAUAUAUAUAUAUAUAUGGAGUGCAUCUGGUAUGCUUUCGGAAGUACGGAGCGCUUCGUGCUUUCAAGUCGUUUUCGAUGUUAGGACUUUCAAAUUGAUGAUCAGCUUGAUUAGACUUGAUCUAGAAUAUUUUAAGUAUCUAGAAAAUAAAUUUUGUGCUUUUUUUAUAUCAUUUGCCUAGUGAUCGAAGUUGUUCAAAAUCAACGGUUGAAAAUAAAAAUCUUACAAAAUAUGAUGAUAUGACAUUAAAAUUUUAGAUCAAAGUUAUUGAUCUUGUUUUAUAUGGUAUAAAAAAUUUUCUAUCAAAAUUUCAUGUGAUUUGUAUAUUUCUACACCGUUAAACUUGCAAACGGCUCACCACGGCCAUUAAAAUUAUUGAUUUUGAGCCCCUUUGAUCACUAGGCAAAUGAUAUCGAAAAAUCACAAAAUUUAUUUUUUAGGUACUUCAAAUACUCUAGAUCAAUUCUAACGGAGCCGAUCGUCGAUUCGAAAGUCCGAACAUCGAAAACAACUUGGAAGCACAGAGGGCUCCGUGCUUCCAGAAGCAUAACAGCCCACUCUAUACAUAUAU
rnacentral:lncRNA from 1 species